rnacentral:rRNA from 1 species
CAGUCGCCGCGGUAAUCCGUAGGGUGCAAGCGUUAAUCGGAAUUACUGGGCGUAAAGCGCACGCAGGCGGUUUGUUAAGUCAGAUGUGAAAUCCCCGAGCUUAACUUGGGAACUGCAUUUGAAACUGGCAAGCUAGAGUCUUGUAGAGGGGGGUAGAAUUCCUGGUGUAGCGGUGAAAUGCGUAGAGAUCUGGAGGAAUACCGGUGGCGAAGGCGGCCCCCUGGACAAAGACUGUCGCUCAGGUGCGAAAGCGUGGGGAGCAAACAGGAUUAGAGACCCCUGUAGUCCCUGUCUCUUAUAC